AUUGAAACACUGGUUCCCAUUCAAUCACUGAAGUUAACCAAAGUUGAGCUUGGUCAGUAUCUAGAUGGGUGACACCACUUAGGAAUACCAAGUGCUGUAA